UUAGUUGUCAGUAGUUAGGACAGGGCUAAGGAAGAAGGUGACUGCUUUUUGCUGUGGGCAGUACCCUUACUGCUCUGCCUUUUAGUUUUUAGCUCCUUAAGAUGGUUUGCACAGUAAUAAUGAACAAACACGUUCAAAGCUGCUUCCCACUGGGCUUGUCUGCUCGGGUCUCCACCUUUUCCCCCUGCAGCCCUUGUCCCAUCCACAGUGGAUGCAAGUUUCUGUGACAGGUCAGGGCUCCCUAUGAGGUAUGGAAUUAGGAAGUGCUUAUUUAUUCUGUGGGCUGAGGCUUGUAUAGCCGUUUCAGGGUAGACCAUCCUCACAGCCUAAGGGGAACCCCCACAACAAAACACACACAUAACCAUUUCCCCACAAUUAGCUAACCCGUCGUCCAGUGAAGUCCACAGGGGCUCCCAGAGUCUCACUGGUGUUUAUGCUGGCCUAGGGACAAUCCGACUUGUAUGGGUUCUGUAGAAGUUCUGCAUUCUUUACAUCUGUGCACGAUCCAAGUGGUGUGGCUAGGGCUAUCAGUUCCGUGGUGUGGCUGAAUGCCAGCCAGCUGAUCUCUUGGGUGAAUGGGACCCAGCCAAGAUCCUAGCUCUUAGCUCUCUAGGUGUCUGGCCCUGUCCCAAUUGACAGCCACACUGGCAUGAUUUAAGUAUAGAAGUCCAGAGGGUACUUUGCGGACUGCAGAAGACUCUUUUCUGGUCCUUUGUGUUUGGUCCAGGAUAGGCAGCUGGCAGCUGAGGGAUGAUCUCAAAACUCUAUCUGUGUGCGUAUGCACUCCAUGGUCCUUGGGAGUGACACGGUCCCUGAGAACUGUGCUCUUUCAAGUUGGGCACUGUCCACCCCACAGGGCUGUCUGCUGUGGCCUUCUGUUCGCUUUGUCUUCUAGUGGUGAAGACGAUAGUGACAGCUCACAGCCCUUCUUACUGUCCCAUCUCUGAUUCGGGGGCUCUUUCAGAUGUGUUCUCUCCAGGAUACAGAGCCCUUGAAGCUGCUAUAAACAUUGCCAGGGUGAAUCUUGGGCAUGCUGGCACUGGACUGGAUGGAGAUGUCCCCAGGUUACUGAGACCGGAAGAGAUCCAGGGCAGUGUUAGUGCAUGUCAACGUCCUGAGUUAAGUCUGCUUGUCUCUGUCCCUUCAGCUAGGUGUCAUGUUGAGGCAUGGCUGCCAUUUUCAUUUGUUCAUAAUACAAAGCUGGUUUGACCUUUCCAUUGUGGCUUGGACCAAUGCAUCUGUGCAUUUCUGUCUGCAAGCCAUGCUGGACUUUGCUUGGAGAAACCGCUAUUUCGUUUUUGCCUGUCUAGUGAUACUGACAACUCCAAUAUGGAUCUUUGAUUCUGCGUUAAUCUUUGAAAGUAAAAAAGAGGUGAGCUCCAGAGGGCAGAAUGGUUGUGGGAAACUUGGCAUGGAAGUUGGCUGAGGCAGGGAUUUAAGGAUAGCUGUUGAUGAACAAUGAACAAUUUUUAAAUAUCCCCUGAGCUGGACAGUCAGAGUAGCUGGGUUCAAAUCCCGCCUCUGCUGCUGCUCAUUUGUACCCAUGCCUAAUAUAUACCGCUCCUGUGCCUCACUUUCCUCAAAAUGGGAUAACAAUAGCAUCACCUCCUUAGGGAUUGUGCAGCAAUAAAAGGAGCCAAUAAGAACAAGGCCUUUCCAUAGAGACCUGAUGAUACCCAGUAGGUAGCCAAUGAGAACAAGGCCUUUCCAUAGUGACCUGAUGAUACCCAGUAGGUGGCAGAUCUCUUCUCUAGUUCACUGUGUUGUCGCAGUUAUCACGGGAGGGAGGGCAUCUCUCUUUGAAACUCAGAGAGGCUAAGUACCUUGCCUGAGAAACCCCCGUUGGCAACAGGUGACAAGACUAGACUCAUUCUUUCACACUUUCUUGCUGUCACACCCUAGAGAGAGCUGACCUGGACACCCUGACGGCCCUUGCGGUCCCUGUGUGCAGGGGUACAGACAGACUUGGGUGGGGAAGGAUAAGAAGGCUGUUGAGAUGCAUUCCAGAUUGCCGUCACUUCCCAGCUUCCUGUGUAACAGGCACCAGGGGACGUUUUUCACCCAGGUCUAUCUCUGAAGACCAUCUGGUGACUCACCUCCACUUCUCCUUUUUGCCUGAAGUUCUGCCUUUUGUUUCAUUGGGGCCGUUGCUCAAGUCGGGGUUAUAGCCCCAAAUGUCUGGCUUUCUGUCCUCAUGUCUGACGCCCUUGUGUCAUCUUGUUGGGAGACCCGAUGACGUGUCCGCAUGUCAUCAAAAUGGAAAGCCUGUAAAAUCUUCAGGUGGUUGUGAUUCACCUCCUGUGUGUGCUUGUCUAACGUUUUGAUCUGAGGCUUUGGGGCUUCAUCGUUUGAAACCUUUCUCCCUCCACGAACAUCUCCCCAGACCUGUCACAGCCACGCCGUGUCCCGGAGCCCAGUCUGUGGGGUUGCCAUCCAGGGCAGAGGCCUGGCUCCAGCUGAGCAGUACUCGGGACGCGGAGCUCCAGUGCAGUGUUGAAAUAUUGCUUGAGCUAAAUCGAACCAAAGGUCAGCUUUACCCAGACAGGCAUAGAAAACAAUUGCGUUCAAUUACAGAAUGCCACGGACCCCACAAUAUGAGGCUGCUUUUUAAAAAGCUUGAUUUGUGACCAUCAAACAACAGCGCUGUCCGUCUCCUGCCUUUCCCGCUUGAGAUUUGUUUACCCUGUGGGUGGUAAGGAGCAGCUCGGGCAAAGGCUUUGUGUCUCAUUGAAAACUCCGUGCUUCUAGCCCUCCUGCCCUCCUCUCUUGCAUGGAGGCACUGAAAGCCAAUGUUAAAUUGACUCUGUCUACAGACAAGGUCGUACGUGGUCGUGAUGACAUCUUGCAUUGAAAGAUUUUAAUGCAUAGUAUACAUUCACUACACGUGGCCUCAGGUCAUACAGGGAUACACUCACAUAGGUACACUUGGCGUGCUUGGUGCUGUGUUAUAUCAGGGUGGACUAACAUAAAUAGGCAUUGUAUAUUUGGUCUCAUGUUGUAUAAGGGUAUAUGCAGGUAUGCAUUGUAUGUUUCAUCUCGUAUCAUACAAGGAUUAUGCUCACACAGGUAUGUCUGCAUUGUAUGUUCGGUUCUGUGUCAUGUACGGGUGUAGUCACAUAGGUAUGAAGUGUAGGUUGAAGAUACGCCUCCCUUACCCUUCCUUUUCUUUUGCUCAGCCCUUCCCUCUCAGAAGUUCACCUUGUUUUCCUAAACCAUUCUGCUUCUACCUUUAUGUCAUACAUAGGUGGUUCUAGGUCUCUAUAUAAGAUCUAGGCCCCAAGUGAGAGAAAACAUAGGAUAUCUGUUUUUCUGAGACUUAACUUAGAUUAAUGGGAUUAUCUCCGGUUGUUUCCCUUUUCUCCAAAAUCCAUAGCUUUGUUCUUUAUGGCUGAAAAAUAUUCCAUCUCUUCCUCAGUUGUAAGACGUCCAGAGCUUUGGUGAGCAUUGAUGUGUAUGUUUGUCAUUGUGGAAGUUUCCAUUUUGAGCGGACUGUUGAAUUUGGUUCUUUGAAGCGGCAUUCGCCGCCGAUCAGUACCAUCCCCAUUUUAUGGAUAAGAAAACUGAGUCUAAAACGGUUGCAUCUAUUGCUCAGUGACACAGGGUCAUACCUUGGGUCCAGGUCUCUGAAACUUGAAAUUCCACAUUUUUCUUCCAUACCAUGAUGGCCGGGCUGCCGCGCUCCAACGCGGGGAAGUGUGGGUGCCAUUGCCAGCUCUUGAUAUUGGAAAGUCAAACGAUUCCUGUAGCUGCCAGUAGCCUGGGGGAGAAGCGGAGUUGUGAAAUCAAGAGUUGUUGGGUUUUAAGCUCGCCUCUGGCUUGUCCUGUGACCUUGAGCCAGCUACUCCCUGCUCCCGACUAUUUCCUGGUUUGGAAAAAUGAGGGUAACUAUAGUACCUUUCUCGGAAGCGGGCUUUAGAGGUUCUGGAAAUUGAUCUGUAUAAUGUGUCUGAGGCUUUGUCAAUACGGCGGCGCAGUGUUUCCUGCCUCAAAGUGCCACCGCGUCCUGGUAAGUUUAUUAAUUUUAGACAUUAGAAGAAAUCAGACAAUUUCUCCCGAAACCCGCCUGGAAAGAAUCCCACCUCAGUGCCUGCCAUGUGUUUGUCUUCCUUUCCUUCUCCUGUUCUCUGGUCUGUCUGUCUUGGCCUGUCUCUAUGUCUCUGUUUUUCAUUGUCUCUCUCUGCCUAUCUCUCUCUGUCUUUCCGUCUGUUUUCUCUCCGUGUGUAUGAAUAUGGAGGCCAGAAAUUGAAACCAGGGGUCUUCCUUGCUCUCCACCACAUAGACUGAAUCGUGUUCUCUUAUUUAAACCCAGGACUCAACUAUUUGGCUAACUUACCUAUCUGGGGAUCAUGUCCUCUGUCUCUAGUGUCUCUCCUGAACUACCUCCCCAACCCCUGUUCCCUGGGUUUUUCAAGUCCCCACGAACUGAUUCUAGUCCUGCAUCCUUAAGUGUCUGGUUUUAAUCACUUAGAGACAGGUCAUGCCUUAUAACUGGAUGGCUUAAACUCUCCCCUCCCCAGACCUCCCCACCUCCGUCCCUUCUGUCCCAUUCAGUCUUUCCUGUGGUUUUGACCGUUCUCUUCUCUCUCCUUCUAUCUUCCAAGCACACUCACAGUGCUCUGUACACCUCCGCUGUCACAAAAGGCUCCCUAGGAAGGAUUUUCUUAUCAGCCGUUUUUCGUGUUUCCCCUGAUAUUGGCUUCCUGUUUCUCGUUUCUCCUUAGGCUCAGAAGUCCUUUGGGCCAGUGUUAGCAACUCACAUUACCUUUCCUUCUGGGUUCUCUCAGCCAGCCUGCCUGUGGUCACCACCUGCUGACCAGCGAGAACCACAGCCUUCUCUUGCUCCUUGCUACCAUUCCCUAGAUGACACAAGUCCUCAUUUCAGUGGCUUCUAGCAGCUUCUCCCACUUCCUUCUUGUCAGCAAGACAAGCAUAUUGGUUUAGUCCACUCUAACUACCGUAAGAAAAUACCCAUGACUCAGAACAUUUACACAAUAGAAAUUGUUUCUAAAGAGCCUGGAAGUCCAAGGUUGGGGAUGUGGCAAUGUCAUUCUCUCUCCAGAAGAGGGUGGGAUGCCCUCUUCUGGAGGGGAAAUCUCUUUCUUUAUUCUAACCUGAUAAAAGGGACAUAGAUAUAUUAAUAAAGUAUUAUUCUGACUUUUUCUGUAUAUGAGUGUUUGCUUGUAUCUAUGUGUGUCUUCAAUAAAAGGCAUAAUGCCAUCCAAGCAGA